rnacentral:rRNA from 1 species
CCUACGGGAGGCAGCAGUGGGGAAUAUUGGGCAAUGGAGGCAACUCUGACCCAGCAACGCCGCGUGAAUGAUGAAGGUCUUCGGAUUGUAAAGUUCUUUUCUAAGGGAAGAAGGAAGUGACGGUACCUUAGUAAUAAGCCUCGGCUAACUACGUGCCAUCAGCCGCGGUAAUACGUAGGAGCCAAGCGUUAUCCGGAAGGACUGGGCGUAAAGGGUGCGUAGGUGGUUUGACAAGUUAGUAGCGCAACUCCGGAGCUCAACUUCGGAAUUACUACUAAAACUGGUGGACUUGAGUGCAGGAGGGGGGAGCGGAAUUCCUGGUGUAGCGGUGGAAUGCGUAGAGAUUAGGAGGAACACCAGUGGCGAAGGCGGAUUGCUAGACUGUAACUGACGCUGAGGCACGAAAGCGUGGGGAGCAAACAGGAUUAGAUACCCGAGUAGUC